rnacentral:rRNA from 1 species
GACGAACGCUGGCGGCGUGCUUAACACAUGCAAGUCGAACGGUGAAGGGAUCAGCUUGCUGGUUCUGGAUGAGUGGCGAACGGGUGAGUAACACGUGAGUAACCUGCCCCCUUCUUCUGGAUAACCGCAUGAAAGUGUGGCUAAUACGGGAUAUUCUGGGUCUGUCGCAUGAUGGGUCUGGGAAAGAUAUUGUUUCGGUGGGGGAGGGGCUCGCGGCCUAUCAGCUUGUGGGAGGGGUGAUGGCCUACCAAGGCGGUGACGGGUAGCCGGCCUGAGAGGGUGGACGGUCACACUGGGACUGAGACACGGCCCAGACUCCUACGGGAGGCAGCAGUGGGGAAUAUUGCACAAUGGGCGCAAGCCUGAUGCAGCGACGCCGCGUGAGGGAUGGAGGCCUUCGGGUUGUAAACCUCUUUCGCCAGUGAAGCAGGCCUGCUCCUUGUGGGUGGGUUGACGGUAGCUGGAUAAGAAGCGCCGGCUAACUACGUG